ACGAACGCUGGCGGCAUGCCUAACACAUGCAAGUCGAACGAACCCUUCGGGGUUAGUGGCGCACGGGUGCGUAACGCGUGGGAAUCUGCCCUUUGCUUCGGAAUAACUCAGGGAAACUUGUGCUAAUACCGGAUGAUGUCUUCGGACCAAAGAUUUAUCGGCAAGGGAUGAGCCCGCGUAGGAUUAGGUAGUUGGUGGGGUAAAGGCCUACCAAGCCGACGAUCCUUAGCUGGUCUGAGAGGAUGAUCAGCCACACUGGGACUGAGACACGGCCCAGACUCCUACGGAAGGCAGCAGUGGGGAAUAUUGGACAAUGGGCGCAAGCCUGAUCCAGCAAUGCCGCGUGAGUGAUGAAGGCCCUCGGGUCGUAAAGCUCUUUUACCAGGGAUGAUAAUGACAGUACCUGGAGAAUAAGCUCCGGCUAACUCCGUG
rnacentral:rRNA from 1 species